rnacentral:tRNA from 1 species
GCCCGGAUGGUCUAGUGGUAUGUUUUCAUAUAUUUCGCCACUUUAAAUGUCCCCACUAACAACGGAACCAGGUAUGAUUCUCGCUUUGGGUGCGAGAGGUCGCGCGUUCGACUCGCGCUUCGGGCC